UACGUAGGUGGCAAGCGUUGUUCGGAAUUAUUGGGCGUAAAGGGCGGGUAGGCGGCCACCGCAAGUGAGUUGUGAAAUCUCCGGGCUUAACCCGGAAAGGUCAACUGAUACUGCGGGGCUAGAGUGCAGAAGGGGCAACUGGAAUUCUCGGUGUAGCGGUGAAAUGCGUAGAUAUCAGGAGGAACACCGAUGGCGAAGGCAGGUCACUGGGCCGCAACUGACGCUGAGGAGCGAAAGCAUGGGGAGCGAACAGG
rnacentral:rRNA from 1 species